GCUGCCACUGCCGCCGCGCUCCGCAACCCCGUGCGCCCGCCAGGCCUGCGGGCCGCAGCGCCCCUCUCUGACCUCAGCCAGGAGCCGUGGCUCAGGGGUCCGACUGGGGACAGAAAGGAGAAAGAAUCUCGCUGUGGCUUCGGCGAGGAGUCCAGAGGGAGAGGGGACAGGGAGGAGGGGGGCGAGCUCGAGUUCGCUGCACCUCCACCGCAGGUAUUUCAGAAAGAAUUAAUCUUUUUGAAGUUGGCCACAGCUGCGAUUUAACUGACACCCUGUUCAACCGGGUGACAAUUGUUCAGCUUGAUGGGGGCGACUCACCAGCCACCCUUCAUAGAAAACAAAAUCUGACUCCCUGGUUCCUGGUUCCUUUGUACCAAGGGGCAGGGUGAACGUAAGACGGCCUGGGCCAUGGCGAAGCUAUCGAAGUCUUUAUUCCAUUUGUGUUAAUGUGCUUCACCAAAGCCGAAUUAGACUCUCUCUACUCCAGAAGGAACCAGGGCAUCAAGAAUAUGCUGGAGGAUUGGAGGCCACUGAGGUUGAGGGAAGGAGAACUGGGAAGGAAGGUCCCUGCGAACACGUCUCCCUCAUGUCAGCCAGGCCAGUUGUCCAGGAGACAUUCUGAAUAAUGCCUCAUCCUGGAAGUGGCUUGUGUUCUCAUGGACAGCGGAGAAAAAUGGAAACAUGAGCCAAAGGAAGAUUCCAGAACCUAGGAACAUGUUUGUGCGGGUCUGCAGACAGCAGACAGACAUCCCUCCAUUCUCUGAGAGCCACUCUUCUGUGUUAUGACUGGACCCGUAGUCACUAGGUUUCCAAAGGCAGAGUAAGUCUGUGGGAAAACUGACCCCUGGUGUCCACAGGGAGUGGAGUAGGUAUUAUUUGUUGUAUUUUAGUAGGACCUUUAGUGGAAUCACUAAAGGAAGAUCAGCUGACAACUAGGAUGAGUAUAAGAGCUGAAAAGUGACUUUCACGGCUGUCCCUGGUAACUAGAAUACGUCUAUAGCUUCCUGAAUAGACAACCCCACCCUACUUUUUUUCUUUCUUCUUUGGCCGCAUCUAUGGCAUAUGGAAGUUCCAGGGCCAGGGCUUGAAUCUGAGCCACAGCUUUGACUUGUGCUACCACUGCUGCAAUAUGAUUACUUUAACCCACUAUGGGGGCAGGGGAUCAAAACUGCAUCUCUGCAGUGACCCAAGCUACUUCUUUGGCUCCUUAACCCAAGGCACAACAGUGGGCAUUCCCCCCAACCCAACUUUUAAUUUUUUUUUUUUUUUUGCUUUUUAGGGCCACAUUCACGGCAUAUGGAGGUUCCCAGGCUAGGGGUCCAAUCGGAGCUACAGCUGCAGGCCUACACUACAGCCACAGCAACGCUGGAUCCUUAACCCACUGAGCGAGGCCAGGGAUCGAACCUGCAACCUCAUGGUUCCUAGCUGGAUUCAUUUCUGCUGCGCCAUGGCAGGAACUCCCCAAUUUAUAAAUCGAAUGCCCUGAAUUGCCAUUUUGGAUCAAAAAGUUUCUGUGUUCUGUCAGUUAAACAUGGCUUGCUGCAGCCCACCUCAUGCUAAGGAUAACAGAUGUGUACAAGGUGAUGGCUUCUACACAUUAUCAUGACUAGCAACUUUUU
rnacentral:lncRNA from 1 species